ensembl:lncRNA
AUCUAUGAACAGCUGAGCAUCAGAGAAAAUGCUCUUUAGACACAUGCUAUAUUCUCAGCAGAACUGUCUACAGCCCACUAUCCCCUCCAGGGUAAUGUUGAGGCCCCCUUAUGCACUUUGGGUGGAAUCUAAGAGAGGUGUUUUUUUCUGUUGCAAAAUGGAACCAAUAUCUACUGUGAUAUGAACCUCUACACCUCCAGUCAGGGUCUGUAGGCAGCAUCACCUCACCGUUUCUUGAUUGCAAACUCAUAAUCUAUGGCUCAUUCUUCAUGCACAGUAGUAAUCAACAGGGUGGAACACCUGUAGAUAAUCAUUACUCUGGUCAAGCACCUCUUUUCUUCUGGUGACUUCUUCAGGAGCCACCUGGUCAAAGAAAUUCUCCACAAAGGUCAUAGUGUAUGUCCAAAAGGUCACAGUGUAUGUCCGAAGGUCAUAUGUCCAAAAGGUGGAACAGACCUUUGGCGUUCAUUUUUGAGGGAGGAAGUCACUUAGAGUUUAUGCAUAAAAAACAAUUUAAUUUCAGGUUGGUCCACAAUUCUGCGGAAAUAGUUAACCCGUUUGCAAUUCAAAUGUCAUGGCCUUACAUACGAGCCUAACAGAGAACAGGAAAGGAGCCAAUGCGCACUAUACCAAAAAUAGGCUACAUGUAAAGCAGUGUGGUGUUCCUGUAUUAUCAUGUAUAAUCAUGCAUUAUCAUGCAUUAUCAUGCGUUAUCAAUGCUCUGGUGGCGUGCUGUAGCUAUGCUCAGGUUUGGGACUCAGACGACGUUCAUCGUGCUUUAUCGCGUACAAACCGUGUUGUUUGCUAAUACCAGUGUGCUGCUGUGAUACGCUGGAAAAGCUAUGCUGCACCUUCAAAGCUAGCGCCGGGGGGUGUUAGUCGAGUUAGCGCGGUCAUCAUCAACACUGCAGUGUUGAUGCUGAUGUACGUAAAGCACUAGAGUAUAUAAAGGCAAGGCAGGUAGAAUUGGAGGCGUGAUUGGAGGAGUAGGUGAUGUUUCCCUCUAACCGCUGCCACUUUGGACUUCUAUACUUCGUUGUGAGUUCCCGGGUAUUGUACCUUUUCUGACCUGUCUGAAUGUGUUGUUUUUUUUAAGCUUUAAUAGUAAUGUGAAAAAAUGGACAUUCAUUUUAUACAUUUUAUGUAUUUUGUUCUAUUGUCUUAAUGUUGAAAGUCUUACGGUUUUUUCCAAUCAUUUUAACUCUUGUAUCAAUACCAUGUACACAUUCCCAAAACACUUAACACACCGAGCAUACCAGUAGACUAUGUGAACCAAACUGUGGUUACUUGCCCCUAUGCUUAGAUACAAAUGCAGUCAAUGACACCUUCUUCCGAAAUUCAUAGAUACCUGUCUCAGUCAAUGUUCACUACCAGCAAAACGCUGUGCAACUACAGCAUUUUUUGCCGAUGUUUAGAUACUCUGUUCAAAACAGUUAACUUUCAGUUCAAAACCUAACUUACAGUAAUUUAGAUCACUGCAGAUGGAAAUAUGCUGUAUUUGGACAGAACAAUGAAGUUAUAUGCUUGAAUAAGAAAAAGUAUUCUUAUUUUAGCAGAAGGUUUAUUUAGAUUAUUUAGUUGUUUUGGCUUGCAGACUUCUUACUAUCUCUACAGAAGGCAAACAUAGAUGUAACUGUUCCUGAAGAGUUGUUUCCACUAUUACAGUACUGCUCUAUAUGUAAGUCAUAGGCUAUCAGUGAAAGACAGUGAUUGAAGAAUGCAAUUACAGUAAAUUUACCCACUCAAUUGUGACAUCUACUGUGAGAGGCAAACCGACAUAUGAACACUGUCUUCAGAUACUUGGCUUGGAUUGACGUAUUUCCAAGAUGCAAUGCAGAGGAGAAUGUUACCGUACAUGCGAAGUUCAAACAUGUAAAAGUUUGACACCAAAUGCAGAGGACAGAAUGGAUCAGCUUUAGGGCUACAGCAGACUUCUAGUGGUAUUACAGUACUUUGGUAGACUGUAUCUUGUGUUGAUGUAUGUUAUUUACUGCAUUGGAAAUACUGCAGUAAAUACGUAGCAUAUUCAUGCCUUUUUGUUGUAAUGUAGUAAGCCUAUACAGUGCAGUAACACGUGCAAUUUUAGCAUAUGGCUUUAAUGAAACAUAUUGCAGCAUUUUAGAAUGAUUUGUUUACUGUAAUAUUACAAACUUUAUUACUGUAGUACAAAGAAGUGUUUGUCUGUGUGUGUUAUUUCUCUUUUUUGCAAUGCAACACUACAGUAAUCAAUGCCAAACUGAAGGACACAGCAACAUGUUAUACAUGCAAUUGGCAAUGCUUCAAGUUGUUAGUGUUUUUUAGGUCAUUGUACUCUGAGAGAGAACAUGUGCUAAGUUACGGCAGCAUGAGUUGUCUUUUGGUGGUUGUAGUGCAUUUUGCAUCAAAGGUUAACUGAUAUGCCGAGGUGUGUGUCUGUAAAGUCCACUGUGUGAAGAGUUUGGGAAAAGUGUUCAUGGUAUUGAGACAAGAGUGAAAAUGAUUGGAAAAAACUGUAAGUAAAAAUGUUAAAUAUGUUUUUAACUACAAACGCUUAAGUUAACACUUAAUUGCAGGAGUAAGUUAGUAGAUGGCUGUGCCGUGCAAACCCCACUGAACCCACACGAAGCAUGUCAGUGCUGUCAACCAUGCAUUUGAACCCCCUUGGUAGUGUGCUCACCUCACACACUCGAGGUCACAGAUUCUAGCCCAGUGGAGGGACAAGACACAACAUCGGUUGCACGCCCGUUUGGCGGAGCGAUUCCUCGAAGUAGCCGAGGCUUAGUGGCUCGUUUGUACAUGUGCUUAACCUUCAGUCAACCUUCAGUCAACCUUUCAGUCGUCACCUUUCGCCCAUGUAUCUUCACGCAGGUGACUUUAUUUAUUGGUUUACAUUUACAUUUCAUUUGGUUACGUUGUACUUGUGGUGGAGUGUAUUCUGUCCGUUUCUGAGAGGAAUAUGUAUGCUGUGCUUUAAAGUAGAACGUGAUGUCGAGUAAUAUGCCUUGAUAAGACAGAUAAGGAGACGAGGGUUUCCUCUUUGUCCUGUGGGACGUCCUGUUGUGAUGGAGUGGGACAGCGCCACACUAUUCCCAUAGCUGCUUUUUUUGGACAGAUUUCACACAAAUGUGGGCUUGUGAUGUAGCUGCUCUUAUUCUCUUAAGCCACCGCAGUGGCAUGGUCUCUUCAUGAGACUGAGCAAACCUCUCCUCCAUGGUCUCUUCAUGAGACUGAGCAAACCGCUCCGCUCUCUUUCCUUCAGGUAGAGCCCGAGCUCUGACUCUUAAAUUAGGUUGUUUUUUUCUUCGUUUUUUUUUUUUUUUUUGCGUGUGGAGAAAAAUGUCACAGAAAACUUCAGCUGUUCCCCCUGGAGCUGUUCCACUGAAUUAGUUUAGUUGGUGACUCACUAACUGUGGCGUACACACACACAUAUUUGAUAUUUAUUUCAGCAGUGACUCACGGACUGUGGCAUAACACACACAUAUUUGAUAUUUAUUUCAGCCGUGGCCUCUGAGGUGAAGUAAUUUGCUCAAGUGUGCGACACCAGCUACCAAACUAAUUUGGCCAGCUAACAACCCCCCUUGAGUUUGCCUUUGUACAUUUUGAAAAGCGUUCCUGUAUUCUAAACACUAAGUCAAAAGUUACAUUAACAUACCUCAGCACACAAUCCACCCCUUUUUAAAAAUGUUUUUAUCUAAUCCUUGCCUUAGGGUGCUUGGUCAUGCUCUCUACCAUGGUACACAUAUUCUGCAUCUCGUGGGCUUCUGUGAGUUCUGCCUCUUCUUCUCAAUGGAUAAUAAUUAUGAAAUCAUCAACAAGUGAUCUUUUUCGAUGUGGUAUAUUAGUUUAUAUUGCUUAAACAAAGUAUCAGGCUUUUGUGUUUUAGUCAUUACAUGAAGAUGUUUUCUUUUGAAGGGAUUGUGGCUCAAAUGUCCUCUAUGUGUAUUCUGUUUUAUUAAAGUAUCGUAUAUAUAAGAUGAAGGUGAUGUUUGAUAUAUGUUCAUGUGUAUUUGUAAAAAAAAAACUAAAGCUAUUCACAAACUAUUGUAAAUAACGAUCAAAUUAUAUGAGUUGCCUCUAUCUCUCAGUGUUGUACUUAUUUAUUUUUUUAAAUAAAGCUUCUCUAUUAAGACCCACA